rnacentral:misc_RNA from 1 species
GUAUAUAAAGUGAGUAGUAAUUAAACAAGAUAGAGUGUUCGUAAAUGCCCUUUAUCUUCUUGCUUUUUGACUGUGGCAAUUGUAGUGGUUCUUUUGCUCAAGAUUCAAAACAUUGAACACUUUCAGCUCAUUCAAUAUGUUUGAUUAGUUGCCCCAAAAAGAAAGGUUAUUAAAGUUUCUAUUUUCAUUUCUUCCUUAGCUAAAUUGUCUCAAAAAAGAGGAUUUUUUGUUGUUGCAUAACCU